rnacentral:rRNA from 1 species
UAGGGAAUCUUCGGCAAUGGACGAAAGUCUGACCGAGCAACGCCGCGUGAGUGAAGAAGGUUUUCGGUUCGUAAAACUCUGUUGUUAGAGAAGAACAAGGACGUUAGUAACUGAACGUCCCCUGACGGUAUCUAACCAGAAAGCCACGGCUAACUACGUGCCAGCAGCCGCGGUAAUACGUAGGUGGCAAGCGUUGUCCGGAUUUAUUGGGCGUAAAGCGAGCGCAGGCGGUUUCUUAAGUCUGAUGUGAAAGCCCCCGGCUCAACCGGGGAGGGUCAUUGGAAACUGGGAGACUUGAGUGCAGAAGAGGAGAGUGGAAUUCCAUGUGUAGCGGUGAAAUGCGUAGAUAUAUGGAGGAACACCAGUGGCGAAGGCGGCUCUCUGGUCUGUAACUGACGCUGAGGCUCGAGAGCGUGGGGAGCAAACAGG